GGGGAUGGGGCUCUAGCUCAGUGGUGGAGCAUCUGCUUGGCAUGCAGAAGGUCCCAGGUUCAAUCCCUGGCAGCAUCUCCA